CUUGAACGCUGGCGGCAGGCUUAACACAUGCAAGUCGAGCGGAGAUGAGGUGCUUGCACCUUAUCUUAGCGGCGGACGGGUGAGUAAUGCUUAGGAAUCUGCCUAUUAGUGGGGGACAACAUUCCGAAAGGAAUGCUAAUACCGCAUACGUCCUACGGGAGAAAGCAGGGGAUCUUCGGACCUUGCGCUAAUAGAUGAGCCUAAGUCGGAUUAGCUAGUUGGUGGGGUAAAGGCCUACCAAGGCGACGAUCUGUAGCGGGUCUGAGAGGAUGAUCCGCCACACUGGGACUGAAACACGGCCCAGACUCCUACGGGAGGCAGCAGUGGGGAAUAUUGGACGAUGGGGGGAACCCCGAUCCAGCCAUGCCGCGUGUGUGAAGAAGGCCUUAUGGUUGUAAAGCACUUUAAGCGAGGAGGAGGCUACUGAGACUAGUACUCUUGGAUAGUGGACGUUACUCGCAGAAUAAGCACCGGCUAACUCUGUGCCAGCCGCCGCGGUAAUAC
rnacentral:rRNA from 1 species